CUCAGGGCGGUGUUUAGGGUGGAGGGAAAGUAGGUGCCUAUCUCUUUAAGAGGGCCUCCGCACACGUGAUUCAUCAAAGUGCCCGCAGUCCGCCGCCCGGGAGCGGAAAGCUGCUUCCUACUCCCGCUGCCGGGCGGUCCGGCUACUGAGCAUGCCCGGCGCGGCGACGGCUGCCAAACGAGAGGACUUGAAGCUGAGGUUAAGCACUGAUUUCCCUUCCUAGGGGCCUAGCGUGAAAUGGACGGGAACUAGCCGAGAGAGAGGAGGUGUAGCCCAUUUUAGAGACGGAGACACUGAGGCCUGGGAGGAUUCACGUGUGGUAAACUACCCAAGGACAGCAGAGAAGAGGGGAUACAUGCUCCCAGACAGGGUGGGCAAGGAGCCCUAAGCAAUCUAAAUUGUUUCCUUUGCAAACAACAAAGCAAAGGCACAGUUUCCAGGCACUGACCAAGGAACAGAGAAGCUGUAUAUUGGAGCUGAAAGUUACACUUGACCCCUGCCCCACCGACUGGUUAGCUAAGGAGAUAAAACCUGAAAUUAUAAGAAAUUCUAGGGAACAAGCAGAAAGAAAAGUCCUGGAUGAAGCAACUUUGGCAAAAUGUUCAUAAUUUGUGUAGCUGAAUAAUGGGUAUAUGGGACUUUUUAAAACAAAAUGUGUCAUUAAUUUUGAGUUAACAGAAGAACUGUUAUGAGUUAAUAGAACUAAAGCCCAAAACAUUCAGAAUUGGUUGCCUAUUGGUAAUGGAACCGUGGGGAAAGG
rnacentral:lncRNA from 1 species